AGUGAACGCUGGCGGUAGGCCUAACACAUGCAAGUCGAACGGCAGCACAGUAAGAGCUUGCUCUUACGGGUGGCGAGUGGCGGACGGGUGAGGAAUACAUCGGAAUCUACUUUUUCGUGGGGGAUAACGUAGGGAAACUUACGCUAAUACCGCAUACGACCUACGGGUGAAAGCAGGGGAUCUUCGGACCUUGCGCGAUUGAAUGAGCCGAUGUCGGAUUAGCUAGUUGGCGGGGUAAAGGCCCACCAAGGCGACGAUCCGUAGCUGGUCUGAGAGGAUGAUCAGCCAAACUGGAACUUAGACACGGUCCAGACUCCUACGGGAGGCAGCAGUGGGGAAUAUUGGACAAUGGGCGGAAGCCUGAUCCAGCCAUACCGCGUGGGUGAAAGAGGCCUUCGGGUUGUAAAGCCCUUUUGUUGGGAAAGAAAAGCAGCAGGUUAAUACCCCGCUGUUCUGACGGUACCCAAAGAAUAAGCACCGGCUAACUUCGUG
rnacentral:rRNA from 1 species